GCCUUCGUUUCCGAUUUGUGGUUACAGAAAAAGAACUCUCGGUUGGUCGGAGUCGCGCGCGCGCGCACACCACCGCAGCCCCGAUCUCGUCGUCGCUACCGCCGCAGGCACCGGAAGAGGGGGCGUACGUCCGCCGAGGGGACGUUGGGGGAGAGGCGGAGGUGGCCGCGUGACAGAGAGCAGGCGGACCGCCCUACGAGGUCCGCGGAGGCGGCGCGGACACGGUGCCGCCUCGGCAGGCUGCACGACGGCCCUAGGCCCCGGCCGCUCGACCUGCCCGACCACGGCCGUCCCGACGAGCUCCUCGACGGCCUCCCGGAGCGGAAGGUCCCGCGGGGACUGCCGUCGCCUCCGGUGGGCUACGAGCUGGCGCCGUAGUUGCGCCGGUAGCACGAGCCGCGGUAGUGGAAGCGCGAGUGGUUCGAGGAGUGGCAGCUGGUGCUGAUGACCGUACCCACCUGUUAGAACCUCUAGGACGCCAUGUACGGUGUCGUGUUGACCAGCCGCAUGCUCCUCCGGGAGUUCCGGUUGGGCCAAGAACAGUUCUACUACUAGUCACCGUAGCAGAUAAGGGAGCCGCUGACCUAUCGGGUCACAAUGCUUCCCUUCGGGUAGAAGCUCAAACUGGCACGAGCGUACAAGGCCAGACCGGAGUAUCCCAAGCGGGAAGUCCCUAGGGAAAGCGUGAUGAUGAUGUUAAAGACGCUCAGCCACAAAGGCACGUUCCUAACCACCCGACAUGGACAGUUCCGACGUAAACUAGUCUGUCGAACCAGACCCGACACCUUGUGGUAGAUGAAGCAGCGGAACCCUAAGGAAGCCACCCUUAGAGGCAGGUGGUAUAAGUCGCUCGAGUUCAGGUGGAAGAAGGGGUACGAAUGACGUCCUACCUUCGACACCGGUAAACGUGUGAAUUAAUGUAUACCACACCAAGGACAGCUUGUAUCUGAAGAGACCCAGCUGACACAGCUCUAUUAGACCCAGUGGUAGAACAGUUGAAUGAGUUUGCUCUUUAGACUUCGUUCCUAGAAUCUGCUAAGGAGGUGUUGUCUAUGCGCCCUGUUGAGGUCUAUCGUGCAUGAAGUACAAAACAACAAAAUAUGAGGGAGACAGGCUUUUAUAUUCUUACAAAAAUUGUGAUGUGAUCACAUUUUUUGCAAGAAUAUAAUACCUUGCCUCCCUCAUCUAACCUUGUUGUCUUUGACGAGGCCGAACGAAACUCUAACAUAUUCAACAUACAUGUCAAUCAAUGGUCACGACGCACACAUUUUUUUUGGAACGUAGAUAACGUUUGUUUAACACGACCGGUUUGUUUUGUCUUUUAUUUACCAGAGUUCCCUCUAGUUGACUACUUUUAAACUCAACA
rnacentral:rRNA from 1 species